UACGUAGGGGGCAAGCGUUGUCCGGAAUCAUUGGGCGUAAAGCGCGUGUAGGCGGUUCAGUAAGUCUGCUGUGAAAGUCCAGGGCCCAACCCUGGGAUGCCGGUGGAUACUGCUGGACUAGAGUGCGGAAGAGGCGAGUGGAAUUCCCGGUGUAGCGGUGAAAUGCGCAGAUAUCGGGAGGAACACCAAUUGCGAAGGCAGCUCGCUGGGACGUUACUGGCGCUGAGACGCGAAAGCGUGGGGAGCAAACAGG
rnacentral:rRNA from 1 species